AGCCGGAGCGAGGGAGCCCGCGGCGCCGUGACGGGUCGCUCCCCCGACCCACGCGCUGCCGCUGGCCGGCCAUCCGCACGCCUCCCUGCCGACGGGCUCGCCUCCUCUUGUCCUGGACCCCUUGUCCCGGACGAUUCCCCCAACCCGAUCCCACCACACCGAGCGCGCCGCCGCUGGCCACCUGCCUAGCGCCGCCGCCCCCGCUCCCCAGCGAGCCUCGGCCGGCCACUACCUCAGCACGCCGCCGUCACCCCACUGCCCCAGCAUGCCGCCUCCAUGAUCUCCCUCCCCCAGUGUGCCGCCGCCUACCCCUGCCUCCGUGCGCCACCACCUACCUCCGAGCACCGCCGGUCUUUGGGCACAACUAGCCACCGCUGCCUCCCGCGCCAACUAUGUCCUGAGACUAGCCACGGUGGUGGAUCCAAGAUCCGCCGAGGGAAAACGGGAGCUGCUGCUCCCUGUUGAUGGCCGGUCCUCGCCACCGGCCGCCGCACUCCCGAUGUGUCCCGAGCACCAGCGCCCCUAGAGGCUCGCUCCCCUGCACCCAUGAACCAGUGCCAUCCACCACUCGAGCAGGAUGGCAAUGGUGACAACAUCCAGCGGUCCUCCUCUGCCUUUGCUCGCCCUGCCUUCAUCAUCGGCUAACCGUGCAAAUCCAUGUAAAAUGAGUUCAGUUCAAUGGAUUCCAAAAAGGAAAAAACUGUGGAUGGGUGAGAAAUCAACUUCCUGUACAGUUGUGCGAUGAACAUUGGACGACCUCGACCACCGGCACCACUGCUUCCCGACCUCAUGCUUGCAUCGCCAUCUCCCAGUGAGGCUCUACCGCCGGAGCACCCUGGCCGUUCACCGCCACCACUCAAGGCCGUUCAACGCCACCACCCCAGGCCGUUCAUUGCCAGCAGCACCCUGGAUCCCACCCCUCGCCCUAGGAGUUUCAGUUAUUGAGAGCUCGUUGACGAUGAAGGAUGUGAAGCUUCACCACCAUUCACAACUCCAAUAUGGUCCAGUUCGUCAUGAGGAUCCGGAGCUUCAACUUUUCAGUUCAUCUUUCAUAUGCUUUUUAGUACAUCUACUUCCUCGUC